rnacentral:rRNA from 1 species
ACGCUUGAAGUCAGUCGCGUUGGCUGGGGAUCAACCUUGCUCUUUUGCUUGGUGUACUUUCCAGUUGACGGGUCAGCAUCAAUUUUGACCAGUGGAUAAAGGUCAGGGGAAUGUGGCAUCUUCGGAUGUGUUAUAGCCCUUGGUUGCAUACAUUGGUUGGGAUUGAGGAACUCAGCACGCCGCAAGGCCGGGUCUUUGACCACGUACGUGCUUAGGAUGCUGGCAUAAUGGCUUUAAUCGACCCGUCUUGAAACACGGACCAAGGAGUC